UUCGCGCGCGCAUACGCUUCUUCUUCUUCAUUCUUUCGUUGUCUCUUCGCUUGGUUUGAGUUUCUCCAAUAUCAUCCAUCGUUUUUCUCUCCUUCUUUCAUUCAUCAAUCGUCUCUUUGCACGCUCUCUCCUUCUUCAUCUCGUUUUAACUCGUUCUAACAAUUAACUCACACUCUGGAUUUCUGGAUAAGCUCGUGGCCUGGCUUUCGUUCAUCGAUUAACAAUCGCUCAAUUUAUAAUAGGAGGAUAGGAGGAGCUCCGUGACAAUUGUAAUUGAGGAUUUGAGGCAUCUAGAGCAGCAAGGUUUACUGUAAUUGUCAAUCAACAGGAGGUGAGGCGUGUACAAGGUGUUUGAAAAAAGUCCCAAAAGAAAGGAUGUACUGGAACGAUUAUGGGUACCGAAUUUGGGGGGCAACAAUUGUGAUGGCUGGGACAUGUUCAGCAACAGUCCUUAUAGCGUGUUGGCCGUGGUGACUGCGCAACAGAAGCGACAAUGCUAUUAAUUAUGUUCGAGGAGACAUUAAUAAUGGAGCUUUCCAAUGGGGUGACAGUGGACCAUAACAACCCACCAAUCCGAGAAUACACACCACUUCAAGUUAAGUCAGACUUUUCUUUUCAGAUAAAGCGCAUUCAAAGUGAGUCAUUUCAAAAAGUCGUAAGUGGGAUUGAAAAAGCAUUGCAUUCUAGAACUGUAGGCCUCACUUGUCAUCUUUUUACUUGGAUCUUUUUAUACCAUCUUUUUUAUCUUUGCAUUAUUGAU